AUGAUCUUACCUCUUGCUGCCAACAACAAUGUUGAGUUAUUAUUUCCCUCGUUCGCACUUCUUUCUCUUUGCCUUCUUCACCAUCCGUCGACAACUUCUGUCUCUCUCUUACACCUUGUUUAGAUAAAUUUUAGUAUGGUUAAUUAAUGUAUGGUAAUAGCAGUGAUUGGAAAGCACUGACACGGGAUGAGAAUGGCAAAAAUUUUUAU
rnacentral:lncRNA from 1 species